rnacentral:rRNA from 1 species
AGAGUUUGAUCCUGGCUCAGGAUGAGCGCUGGCGGCGUGCUUAACACAUGCAAGUCGAACGAACCUUCGGGUUAGUGGCGGACGGGUGAGUAACGCGUGAGAAUCUGCCCUCAGGAGGGGGACAACAGCUGGAAACGGCUGCUAAUACCCCAUAUGCCGCGAGGUGAAAUGAAUUUCGCCUGAGGAUGAGCUCGCGUCUGAUUAGCUAGUUGGUGUAGGUAAUGGCUCACCAAGGCAUCGAUCAGUAGCUGGUCUGAGAGGAUGAUCAGCCACACUGGGACUGAGACACGGCCCAGACUCCUACGGGAGGCAGCAGUGGGGAAUUUUCCGCAAUGGGCGAAAGCCUGACGGAGCAACGCCGCGUGAGGGAUGAAGGCCUCUGGGCUGUAAACCUCUUUUAUCAAGGAAGAAGAUCUGACGGUACUUGAUGAAUAAGCCACGGCUAAUUCCGUGCCAGCAGCCGCGGUAAUACGGGAGUGGCAAGCGUUAUCCGGAAUUAUUGGGCGUAAAGCGUCCGCAGGCGGCCCUUCAAGUCUGCUGUUAAAAAGUGGAGCUUAACUCCAUCAUGGCAGUGGAAACUGUUGGGCUUGAGUGUGGUAGGGGCAGAGGGAAUUCCCGGUGUAGCGGUGAAAUGCGUAGAUAUCGGGAAGAACACCAGUGGCGAAGGCGCUCUGCUGGGCCAUCACUGACGCUCAUGGACGAAAGCCAGGGGAGCGAAAGGGAUUAGAUACCCCUGUAGUCCUGGCCGUAAACGAUGAACACUAGGUGUCGGGGGAAUCGACCCCCUCGGUGUCGUAGCCAACGCGUUAAGUGUUCCGCCUGGGGAGUACGCACGCAAGUGUGAAACUCAAAGGAAUUGACGGGGGCCCGCACAAGCGGUGGAGUAUGUGGUUUAAUUCGAUGCAACGCGAAGAACCUUACCAGGGUUUGACAUCCUGCGAAUCUCUUGGAAACGAGAGAGUGCCUUCGGGAACGCAGUGACAGGUGGUGCAUGGCUGUCGUCAGCUCGCGUCGUGAGAUGUCGGGUUAAGUCCCGCAACGAGCGCAACCCACGUCUUUAGUUGCCAGCAUUUAGUUGGGCACUCUAGAGAGACUGCCGGUGAUAAACCGGAGGAAGGUGUGGAUGACGUCAAGUCAUCAUGCCCCUUACAUCCUGGGCUACACACGUACUACAAUGCUACGGACAAAGGGCUGCAAGUUCGCGAGGACAAGCAAAUCCCAUAAACCGUGGCUCAGUUCAGAUCGUAGGCUGCAACUCGCCUACGUGAAGGCGGAAUCGCUAGUAAUCGCAGGUCAGCAUACUGCGGUGAAUACGUUCCCGGGCCUUGUACACACCGCCCGUCACACCAUGGAAGUUGGCCACGCCCGAAGCCGUUACUCCAACCCUUGUGGAGGAGGACGUCGAAGGUGGGGCUGAUGACUGGGGUGAAGUCGUAACAAGGUAACC